CCUGGGGACAGCAUGGAAAGAGAAAGGGGUGUCCACGCCCAGCACACCGUGGGGACCAGCAGCCGAAUCCAAGGCCUGAGCGCCCAGUGACCCUGCCUGAUCCCUGACCCAGCUUUCUGUGCACUUGCAGCCGCCCGCCUAAGAGCUUGUUGUGCAUAGAGCAGACAGAGGCGGCAGUGGGGUGGAGAGGAGGGAGGCAGGAUGGCCACCCUCUUGUCUGCCUGCUGAGCUCUGCUGCUCAGCCCAGAAGAGACACCAAACAGCCAUUUGGACGUUUUAUUUCCACUGUGACACAGAGAAGAGACUUUCAGGUGGGUUCAUUACCACUAGCAUCACCUAGGAAGCCCACCUAAUGAAUCUGGAGAGCAGUGUCCCAAACAGAACCAAAGAAAGGGAAGCUGCUGUCCCACAGGGAGGAAGUUCACCACAGUUGAAUAAGAGUGUAUGCUCGGAGGACAAACCACCCCUAGGUGAAGCUGCCCUGACGUCUGCAGGCUGUGGGCUCCUGUCCCACACAGAUUUCCUGCCCUGAGCUUCCUAAGAUAGGACCCACCUCAAAAAUCUUGCCUACAAGGGAUAUUUAUUUUGGC
ensembl:lncRNA